rnacentral:lncRNA from 1 species
AUACAUAUGGUUUGAACCAGGACUGGUUUGAACACAUGAUUCGGCCGUUUACCAAGGAACAGACAUGACCUUUUGCAAUGUGUCUUUUGGUCGUGUAUAUAUAUGAUACAUGGAAAAGAGAGAAAAAGGUUAAAUGAAACAUUUAGUGAUUGUUAAUUUUUGUCUGUGAUAUGAUUUUUAUUAUGACUCUUACAUUCAUUUCUAUAUCAGAUUUAAAUCAUAUUCAUCAUUAAUCAUUCAAAGAUAUGUGUACGGUCUAAACAUUUUGUAAAAAAUAAAUAUAAAAUUACAUGUACAAAGUGGUAAGUUGUAAGCAAAUAAGUUAAGUUAUAAUAGCGCAUUUUAUAAAUAUUUUAAUUUAUUAUAUUUCUAUACUUCUACGUGUUCUAACAUUUACUGAAAUUUCUUUUAUUUUUUAUUAUAAUUUAAUAUUUUUUCUUUUAUUUUGCUGUUCUGAGUUUUCAUUUUUUUUUGUUUUACUAGCGUAAGUUCUUAUAUUGCUAAGAAAAAAAUCUGUUUCUAUUUGUGAGAAAAAGUUUAUAUUUUCUCCCUUAAUGUACUAUAUUUAGUGUAAGAAAAUUGUUUCAGUUAUUCAGUGUCAACUACAUCAUUUUAAAGGCCUUCAACUAUGUCAUGCCUUUUAUAUUUUUUCAGUUGAACAAUACUCCAUCUAUUCAAAAAUACAUAAAGGUUUAGAAUAAUGCACAACAAUUUUUUUUUAAUAAU